ensembl:lncRNA
AACUCAACCUGGCUGCUAAGGUAAAAGGGAACAAGAAACUCUUUUACAAGUAUAUCAACAGUAAGAGGAGGACCAGGGAAAAUCUCCAUUCCCUACUGGAUGAGGCUGCGAAUGUGACCGCUGAGGAUAAGGAAAAGGCAGUGGAAUGGGCUGCCCAGAGAGGUGGUGGAGUCACUGAGCCUGGUGGCGUUCAAAGACCGUUUGGAUGUUGUGCUGAGGGACACGGUUUAGCGAGAACCAUUGGUGAAGGGCGAAUGGUUGGACUGGGUGAUCCCGCGGGUCUUUUCCAACCUUAGCGAUUCUAUGAUUCUAUGAUCGCCUCCUGAUGCUCUGCACACCAGCCGAGGAGCGGCGCUUCCCCGUGGGCGGAGGGGCACGCGUCACAGCCAGAGCAUUGUGACGCAAUCACCCUGCAGAGUAGCAGAAGCACCGCUCCCUGGGCACAGAGAGCACUUGGUGCUGAGCACCGGCACUGCGAGGAGGUGGGAGAGAUUGGGAGAGGAGACUGAAGGCAGAGAGUGCCCCCGGUGCCCUCCCAGCCCACAGCGUGGUCGAGGACUGUCGCGAACCCAUCCGCAGCUGUGCGCACUGAGCGCUGAAGCCAUGGCAGAGAAGUACUCCAGUGAAAUGCUGGCGGUAGACAACGCUGAGUCAGGCGCACUGCUGGAGGAGCUCAUGGAGUAUAAGAAGAGGUCUGCGGAGCUGGCAGCUGUUCUCCGAGAGCAGACCAAAAUCCGUCAGGCACUGAAGGAGGAGGUGGAAAUGGAGAUGAAAAACCUCCAGAAGGCACAACGGAGGGCCCAAAAGCGCACUGCGCCGAGGAAGAUGACACGCAGGGAAGAGCACAUGAGUUCCCUGCUGCAGGAGACAGUGGCUGUGCGAUUGGUAAGAGAGAAAGCCCCAGCGGGGCCUUGGGGAGGGAAGGCUCACCUCAGGGCCACCGCAGGGGAUAUGGGCCUCCCUCUGGCUGUGGGGACGAAGGAGGGCUUCCGAGUGCCCAAACCUGCGCUCACCCCAACGCGUGGCCCUACUUUGCUUUGUCCUCUAGGAUGAGCAGACGGCAGCACAGAAGCAUCCACUUGUAACUUCCUGGCUGCGGUGAGUCGCCCUGGGGUCCAGAGACCAUCAGGCAGCUUUUGACUUUUGGGGGAUAAAAUGCCUCAGUAUUGCU